UACGUAGGGUGCGAGCGUUGUCCGGAAUUACUGGGCGUAAAGAGCUCGUAGGCGGUUUGUCGCGUUGUUCGUGAAAACUCACAGCUUAACUGUGGGCGUGCGGGCGAUACGGGCAGACUGGAGUACUGCAGGGGAGACUGGAAUUCCUGGUGUAGCGGUGGAAUGCGCAGAUAUCAGGAGGAACACCGGUGGCGAAGGCGGGUCUCUGGGCAACAACUGACGCUGAGGAGCGAAAGCGUGGGGAGCGAACAGG
rnacentral:rRNA from 1 species